rnacentral:sRNA from 1 species
UGCUUUCAUUGCAGAUUGUCGCUUGUGU